rnacentral:rRNA from 1 species
AGCAGCCGCCGCGGUAAUACGAUGGGGGCUAGCGUUGUUCGGAUUUACUGGGCGUAAAGGGCGCGUAGGCGGAUUUGUAAGUCAGGGGUGAAAUCCCGAGGCUCAACCUCGGAACUGCCUUUGAUACUGUGGAUCUUGAGUCCGGGAGAGGUGAGUGGAACUGCGAGUGUAGAGGUGGAAUUCGUAGAUAUUCGCAUGAACACCAGUGGCGAAGGCGGCUCACUGGCCCGGAACUGACGCUGAGGCGCGAAAGCGCGGGGAGCAAACAGGAUUAGAUACCCGAGUAGUCCCUGUCUCUUAUAC